UGGGGAAUUUUGGACAAUGGGCGAAAGCCUGAUCCAGCAAUGCCGCGUGUGUGAAGAAGGCCUUCGGGUUGUAAAGCACUUUUGUCCGGAAAGAAAUCCUCUGGGUUAAUACCUCGGGGGGAUGACGGUACCGGAAGAAUAAGCACCGGCUAACUACGUGCCAGCAGCCGCGGUAAUACGUAGGGUGCAAGCGUUAAUCGGAAUUACUGGGCGUAAAGCGUGCGCAGGCGGUUUUGUAAGACGGAUGUGAAAUCCCCGGGCUUAACCUGGGAACUGCAUUCGUGACUGCAAGGCUAGAGUAUGGCAGAGGGGGGUAGAAUUCCACGUGUAGCAGUGAAAUGCGUAGAGAUGUGGAGGAAUACCGAUGGCGAAGGCAGCCCCCUGGGCCAAUACUGACGCUCAUGCACGAAAGCGUGGGGAGCAAACAGGAUUAGAUACCCUGGUAGUCCACGCCCUAAACGAUGUCAACUAGUUGUUGGGGAUUCAUUUCCUUAGUAACGUAGCUAACGCGUGAAGUUGACCGCCUGGGGGAGUAC
rnacentral:rRNA from 1 species